AAAUUCUGAAAUUCACCCAAAAGAUCAACAUUAUAUCUAUACCUAACAUCAUGCUUAACAAUACAAACACUUGAACUUACAUCUCAACAAUCAUUUGAAAGAAACCGUCCCAAAUAGUUACAACUACUAAGUAUAACAAAUUGUUUAACACUUAGGAAUAAACUAAGACAACUUAAACAUUCAAAUCAUCCAUCUAUACUAAGUCAGCAUUGACAAACUUAAAAUAAAAUCGAAACAGUAUCAUGAGCAACAAACAAAGAAGCAUCCAGCCAGGUGACCUAAAAUCCCAUUCCAAAUCAGUAUUUUACAAGUUCAUAUUAUCACUUCAAGCUCGGAAAUAUACCUGGAAUAAUAAGACACAAGCAACAGAACUUCAGCAAGAAAUAUCAUCAGCUUUUAAUCAACAGUAACCAAACAAUCAUCAACCAGCUACCAACAUGCUUUGAGUCCAGAAAAUAGUAGUGAUUCAAGCUUCUAAAAACCAAAAAAUGUGAAGAAAAGCCUGGUUGCAAUGAAAUAGUGCUCGAUUUUUUUGUGUUUUUUCUAGUUAUCAAAACUCUAUGUAUUUCAGUGUUCUAAUUGCAAAAAGAAACGGUGCUUGUUAUUCUCAGUCGUUUCUCAGUCUUGGUAUUGUAAAAAUCUCUUUGACAAUGAAGGAAACAAGCCUCUUAUAGAAAGCCCUUAGGGCAG
rnacentral:lncRNA from 1 species